rnacentral:rRNA from 1 species
GUUGAACGCUGGCGGCAUGCCUAACACAUGCAAGUCGAACGGAUGAAGGGAGCUUGGCCCUGCUUUCAGCGUCGGAAGGGGGAGUGAUGCACAUGAACAUGCUGGGUCGUACGGGGUGACGUCCGGUGGCGAGGGCUAAUACUACAGAAUACCAGCUGCAGAAGGAGGUGGAGCAUCGGACAUCAAGCUCUCAGAUGAGUCUACGUCGGGUUAGCUAGCUGGUGGGGUAAAUGCCUACCAAGGCGACGUUCCGUAACUGGUCUGAGAGGAUGAUCAGUCACACUGGAAGGGAGACACGGUACAGACGCCUACGGGAGGGAGCAGUGGGGAAUAGUGGGCCAGGGGCGGAAGCCUGAGCCAGCCAGGCCGCGGGUGUGAAGAAGGUCUUCGGAUUGGAAAGGACUGUAUGUUGGGAGGAAGGGCAGUAAGUUAAUACCUUGCCGUUUUGACGGGACCAACAGAAUAAGAACCGGCUAACUUCGUG